AGCUCCAAUAGCGUAUAUUAAAGUUGCUGCAGUUAAAAAGCUCGCAGUUGGAUCUCGGGGUACCUGGUCUAGCCGGUAUAGCUCACGCUAAAACUGGUCUGACCCCCCAACGUGAGGUAUUCGUCUCCGGGUGCACUUCAUUGGGUGCUCGUGAGGGGCCUCGUAGUUACUGUGAAAAAAUUAGAGUGUUCAAAGCAGGCUCAUAUGUUCGGAUAGUCGUGCAUGGAAUAACUGAAUUCGUGACUGGCGCUUUUCAGUUGGUCUCGGCGACUGGUCAAAUGAUUAAGUGACUGGCGCUUUUCAGUUGGUCUCGGCGACUGGUCAAAUGAUUAAGAGGGACUGCCGGGGGCAUUGGUAUGGCGGGGUUAGAGGUGAAAUUCUUGGAUCCUCGCCAGACCAACAAAAGCGAAAGCAUUUGCCAAGAAUGUCUUCA
rnacentral:rRNA from 1 species